rnacentral:ncRNA from 1 species
AUAAUGAGGAGAAUGCUAAACUUGUUUGGAAACUAGAACAUCGCAUGAAACUCUCUCUAAAGGAUAUUGUGACACAUAUGCUACAAUGACUAGAACAAAGGGUUGCGACCCCAUGAUGUAAAGCUAACCUCAAAAACUCGACCUCAAUUUGUAUUGCAAGAUGCAACUUGAUUGCAUGAAAUCAUAAUCGCUAUUAAUCGUCGGUCAACCAUACGUCAGUGAAUCCAUUCC